AUAAAAUCAUCUUAAUCAGGCAAAAUGGCAUUAUGAAACAACAAAACCUAGCUUUCCUAUGGUUUUAGCUAUUAAUGGUCUUUACAUUAAAAAAUACCGAGAUAAUCAUCAUAAGUAAAAUGAGGGAAGACAUCAUGAAUAGGCCAAUUUUCGAGCUUUUCUUCUUUUUCUUUUUUUAUGUAGGAGUCUGUUCAGUCUUUCAGGCUGAGAGCAACUCUCUUCAGGGUUCCAAGAGGAAUGCUUUGAAACCAGGAAACUUUGAUAUGGGUUUGUCUUCCUGAAUGAAGUCCUCCAGCUUGCUUCUAAGAUGACUAGGAAGAAAUGCCUUCUUCAUGCCCGGAAUCAGCUCCGCCAAUAAAGACUUUGGGAAGUAAUGGGGAAAUGAGGAGAUUUGUUCUUCAGUGGUAUAUGGUGGGGAAGUAAAUCUAAGGGUCAAAGAGGCUUCUGUGGAGAGUUGGGGCAGAUGAAGGCUUUGUAUUUAGUUCACUGAGAUAUACUGAGUUUGGGAAUGGGCAAGUUGGGCAAAUGUGUGAGUGACUUUCCUAAACCAGCUAUGUAAUGUUUUUAUUUGUGAGUUAGAACAACAUGAUGUUUUUUACAAGAGAAAGAAGGAGGAGGAGAAGAAAGUGGCAUUGGCGUUGGAGGAGGAGGAGGAAGAGAAGGAGGAUCAUCCAGGAGAAGCUUUCUGGAGACACCCAGACAGAUGGGCUGGAGUUCACUUCAUCCUUGGAUGAAACCAUGGUGUGCACUAUCCUGCUUGGGAGUAACCUAUUCACACCCUUCACUUCUGAUAGAGUCAAAGCAGGCAGGAUGCCAACUAUAUACAAAGAAGGUUCUAGACCCAGCUUCAGGAAUUCUCUGUGUACAGCUAUAUGUCAUAAACCACAGCUGUCAGUUAAUGUGUGAACCUGCUCACAACCUGAUCUGGUUGCUUAUCCCAGUAACUGAGGUGUUAACCCAUUUUGGAAUUCUUCAAUUAACAAACAAUAACUUUCAAAGGAAUCCUCUUAAAACUGUACUCUCAGCACUGCCUGCCUUCCCAAUGUUCUCACACUUAAUACUUCAUCUCUUGCUAUUGGUUUCCUGAUUCGGGCCUUUACUUUUUUUUCUUUUUUCUUUUUCCUUUUUGUAGUAUGCCAUUUAUAACAAUUACUCUGUCUCAUCCAGAAACACAAAUACUAAGAUUCUGUGAAAACACAGCAUUUACUUACUAAGAUGAAACAGAAAUUUUAUGCUCCAUUUUACUGAUAUUAAAAUUACUAUUCAAACCAGAAUAUGAGAAAUGAGACAACAAGUAAAAUGAUUGGUUAAAUCUUUGCAGGUUUUAUUUGUUAUUGUUUGUGUGGUUUAGUAAAUUUUAAAAGUCAUCUAAUUGUUAGUUCGUGAUCAUUUCAAUACUAGUCCAAUGGAUGGAAGGAUAAAAGAGUUGACCAUUUUGCAGGGAGACUAUUGAGUGGCCACAUUCCAAUCUCCCUCCAGGAAUUGAAAAUAGCUGUGGAAAUCUUUUUUUAACCAUGUGAAAUAAAUCUUAGCAAUGUCACUGAAAGAUUUACAAAUUUACUAUUAUUCUGCUAGUAUAAAGUUAUUAUUGAAUAAUAUGGCUAAUGCAAUCACAGGGGACAGAGAAUGAUGGUUUUCCAGGACUUUGAGUUUAAAGUGUAUUUAUUCAUCUCUGUACACUUCUUUCACCACAUGCAACAACUGUGAAACAGUUGAUGUUCCUUCUGUUCUGAUGAAGCUGUCUAGGAACUCAUUUUGUCCCUUGUAUGAUUGUAAGAUCUGAUUUGGCAGCCUAUGCUCCUCCUCACACUGCACAGGCAUCCUCUGGGGCAUGGGCAUCCCCUGGUGUAGAGGCAUCCUCUGGGACAUGAACAUCUCUUGGGGCACAGGCUGUGCACAUUUCCCCCAUGGCUCUUGGAUGUUCGUUACAUUUCCUCUGGAGUAGUAUUUAUGCCUCACCGCACACUGAUGUUGUCUGUUUCCUUCUCCUAAAUUACUGCCUGCUGUUCUUCAGAAUGUCUGUCCUGUCCCAGUUCUUGCUGUUGUGCCUCUAUAUGCCCCUGCCAUAGUUACUUGAGUUACCGGGGUUAUUCUGGCUACUAAGACAGAUACAAAAUGAUAAGUAGUUGUUUUAGUUUGUUGUUCUCUGAUUACUAACAAAUUAGAUAUUUUAAAGACAUGUUUAUUUGUCUUUUGGGUUCCCAAAAUUUCCUCUGCUUACUUUAUUUUUGAAUUCUACAUAUGUGUUUCUCUGUCCUUAUGUUUGUGCAAGUGCCCUCUGAUGCCAGAAGACCAUAUCUCACUUCCUGGAACUGGAAUUAAAACUGGUUGUGUGCAGCCUCAUAUGGAUGCUGCAAACUGAAUCU